rnacentral:misc_RNA from 1 species
GAUGAAGAACGCAGUGAAAUGCGAUAAGUAAUGUGAAUUGCAGAAUUCAGUGAAUCAUCGAGUCUUUGAACGCACAUUGCGCCCCCUGGUAUUCCGGGGGGCAUGCCUGUCCGAGCGUCAUUGCUGCCCUCAAGCACGGCUUGUGUGUUGGGCCCCCGCCCCCCGGCUUCGGGGGGCGGGCCCGAAAGGCAGCGGCGGCACCGCGUCCGGUCCUCGAGCGUAUGGGGCUUCGUCACCCGCUCUGUAGGCCCGGCCGGCGCCCGCCGGCGACCCCAAUCAAUCUUUCCAGGUUGACCUCGGAUCAGGUAGGGAUACCCGCUGAACUUAAGCAUAUCAAUAAGCGGAGGA